GACGAACCGUGCGAACGUUAUUCGGAAUCACUGGGCUUAAAGCGCGUGUAGGCGGGACGGCACGUCGGUCGCUGAAAGCCCCCGGCUCAACCGGGGAACGGGCGCCGAUACGACCGUCCUGGAGGGACGUAGGGGGACCUGGAACUUCCGGUGGAGCGGUGAAAUGCGUUGAUAUCGGAAGGAACUCCGGUGGCGAAAGCGAGCUGCUGGAUCUCUACUGACGCUGAGGCGCGAAAGCCAGGGGAGCAAACGGG
rnacentral:rRNA from 1 species